rnacentral:rRNA from 1 species
GACGAACGCUGGCGGCGUGCCUAAUACAUGCAAGUCGAGCGAACGGACGAGAAGCUUGCUUCUCUGAUGUUAGCGGCGGACGGGUGAGUAACACGUGGAUAACCUACCUAUAAGACUGGGAUAACUUCGGGAAACCGGAGCUAAUACCGGAUAAUAUUUUGAACCGCAUGGUUCAAUAGUGAAAGACGGUCUUGCUGUCACUUAUAGAUGGAUCCGCGCUGCAUUAGCUAGUUGGUAAGGUAACGGCUUACCAAGGCAACGAUGCAUAGCCGACCUGAGAGGGUGAUCGGCCACACUGGAACUGAGACACGGUCCAGACUCCUACGGGAGGCAGCAGUAGGGAAUCUUCCGCAAAGGGCGAAAGCCUGACGGAGCAACGCCGCGUGAGUGAUGAAGGUCUUCGGAUCGUAAAACUCUGUUAUUAGGGAAGAACAUAUGUGUAAGUAACUGUGCACAUCUUGACGGUACCUAAUCAGAAAGCCACGGCUAACUACGUG